GGGCCUGGCAGAAUGGCUCCCGCAAAGAAGGGUGGCGAGAAGAAGAAGGGCUGUUCUGCCAUCAACGAGGUGGUGACCCGAGAAUACACCAUCAACAUUCACAAGCGCAUCCAUGGAGUGGGCUUCAAGAAGCAUGCUCCUCGGGCACUCAAAGAAAUUCGGAAGUUUGCCAUGAAGGAAAUGGGGACACCAGAUGUGCGCAUUGACACCAGGCUCAAUAAAGCCGUCUGGGCCAAGGGAAUAAGGAACGUUCCAUAUCGCAUCCAAGUACGCUUGCAGAAAACGUAAUGAGGAUGAGGAUUCCCCAAACAAGCUCUACACGCUGGUAACUUACGUGCCUGUUACCACAUUCAAAAAUCUACAGACGGUCAAUGUGGAUGAGAACUAACCUGCUCAUGUCAAAUAACGUUGCAGAACUGCAAAAAAAAAAAAAAAAAAAAAAAAAAGAAAAAAAGAAUGGCUAUUACAGCUUGUUUCUUGAGACCAUUUGCUUGGAAAAUUGUUUUCCAGACCUUUACUUUGAGGUAGUGUCUGUCUUUGACACUGAAGUGCAUUUCCUGUAUGUAGCAAAAUGCUGGAUUCUGUUUAUGUAUCCAGUCUUUAUUUUAUGUCUUUUUAUUGGGGAAUUGAGUCCAUUGAUGUUAAGAGAUAUUAAGGAAUAGUGAUUGUUGCUUCCUGUUAUUUUUUUAUGUUAUUUUUAUGUUUGUAUGGCUAUCUUUUUGGGGGGGUGUUGAAAGAAGAUUAAUUUCUUGUUUUUUCUAGGGUGUAGUUUCCCUCCUUGUGUUGACGUUUUCCAUCUACUAUCCUUUGUAGGCCUGGAUUUGUGGAAAGAUAUUGUUUAAAUUUGUUUUUGUCAUGGAAUAUCCUUGUUUCUCCAUUUAUGGUAAUUGAGAGUUUUGCUGGGUAUAGUCACCUGGGCU
rnacentral:lncRNA from 1 species